CCCUUAGAUGUUCUGGGCAGCACGCGCGCUACAAUGGUCUUCGCAAACGGAUGCAUUCUCGAAGGAGAAUGCCAAUCUUGGAAUCUAUGCCUUGGUCGGGACAGUUGCUUGCAAUUUUUCGACUCGAACCAGGAAUUCCUUGUAAUCGUGAUUCAUCACAUCACGAUGAAUACGUCCCUGCCCUUUGUACACACCGCCCGUCGCUCCUACCGAUCGAAGAGUUAGGUGAAUUGUUUUGAUCGAUAAGAUUUGACUAUGGUCAACUCUCGUUGUGAAAUUAUGUGAAUCUGACUGUUUAGAGGAAGGAAAAGUCGUAACA
rnacentral:rRNA from 1 species